GCUGCAUGCAAUUUUGCUUUACUGUGUUGGUAAAGCAAAAUGACGUUUAACCUAGUGAAGACAACGAUAUAAAGGAAUUGAUUUACCCGUGGGUAUUUAAGUGUUAACAAAAGCACCAAAUGAUUAAAUUCUAAUGUCUAAGCUGACUACAGUUCCAGAAUGGUUUAUGCAAUUUGUCGGUAUCGUACUAAGUGUUCGUUAAAGUGACUUGGCAAAAGCAAGUACGGAUUUUGUAUCUUCAGUCAACAUAUGCAAGAAGUGUAGUGUUUAUCUUUACAAUCAGACAGGUUUCUCUUCUGUUGCAAUCUAUGGAAGUGUGAUUCCCAAAUGUCUAGUGCUGCCAGGGACAAUUACAGUCUCAGCAAGUUUCAGAAAUUGAUGCAUCAGGAAUGGGGGGUUUUUGCUCAGAUGACCCAUGGGGAAAGGGCAACCCUGAAAGGAGGGAUUAUAAACUGUACAAAACAGCUUAGAUUAAAUCAGUGGAGUGUUGAAAUUCAGGCUUAUAUCUAUGCUUAUAUUUUGCCUUCACAAUCAAACUAUUGCUAAACAGAACAGUAUAAUUCAAAGCCAUUAGAAAGUAGCCAAGGCAGGCAGAAAAAAAUACAGCCAGGUUAACAAUUCCCAGAAAUAAAGACGUGGGUUGUAUGAUUGCCAGUGCAUACAUGAUAUGAUUCAUUAAAACCAAAACCCAGACAAAUGAUCAAACUCUGCAUUUAAUGUUUUGUUUAUUGCUAUUUAGUAAUAUAACUAAAAUAUACUAUAGAUUUACCCAGUUUUUCUGCCUAUAUUUAUUUCUUUUUUUACAAAUUUUUGAGAUUAUAAGACAUCCCACAUUUUUAAAUGCACCUGACUGUUUCUGAAAUAUUAGCAUACAUUGGUUUUUUUGUCACAUAUCGUAGAAAUUUAGGAUAAAUAUCAGUAAAUAUGUAAAUAUAUUUCUUGAGAAUAUAUAAUUUCGGUAAUGCACAUUCCCAAAAAUGCCACUAGAAUGUCUAUAAGUAGGCAUUAUGCCCUCAUUAAGUAAGUGCAAAUGACUGGAUAACAUUAGGCAUCUGUACUAUACAGGACAUUGCCGAUUGUUUACUGAUAAUACGCCUAAAGUAUGCCGAGAGCUCACUCUCAGGGAAGACAGACAGACAUGCAGUCACAAUAAAAAAGGAAUUGAAACACAGUCACACAAAUCAAACCAAAGGUACAUGAAAAAGCUUAACAAAAUACAGAGGAGCUUCUGUGUUGGCAUCUAAAAUAUGUUUAGAAUCUACCCACAAUAGGUUCUGUAGUAGCUGGGAUUGUCUCCUGCUUUCCCACUAUAGUAAAAGAGUUAGAUUCCAGACAUCACUACAUUUGCCCUCCAGUGAGAUUACUGUAACGUAAAUACGUUGAUGUCCUAGUAUAGGCACACAAUGUUUUGGGAAGUGCCGGUAAAUAUUUGGUUAAUA